rnacentral:rRNA from 1 species
GCCAGCAGCUAUAUCACUCUGCAACUCACAACUGGCAACCCACUGAAGCUAAGCAGGUGUGAGCCUGGCCAGUACCUGGAUCGGAGACCUCCUGGGAAAAACUAAGGUUGCUGCAGGAA